GACGUAGGGACCGAGCGUUGUCCGGAUUUAUUGGGCGUAAAGAGCUCGUAGGCGGUUGCGUAAGUCGGAUGUGAAAACUCGGGGCUCAACCCCGAGACGCCAUCCGAUACUGCGCUGACUUGAAUCCAGUAGGGGAGUGUGGAAUUCCUGGUGUAGCGGUGAAAUGCGCAGAUAUCAGGAGGAACACCUAUGGCGAAGGCAGCACUCUGGGCUGGUAUUGACGCUGAGGAGCGAAAGCAUGGGUAGCAAACAGGAUUAGAAACCCCUGUAGUCC
rnacentral:rRNA from 1 species